rnacentral:rRNA from 1 species
AAGAGGGAAACAACCCAGACCGCCAGCUAAGGUCCCAAAGUCAUGGUUAAGUGGGAAACGAUGUGGGAAGGCCCAGACAGCCAGGAUGUUGGCUUAGAAGCAGCCAUCAUUUAAAGAAAGCGUAAUAGCUCACUGGUCGAGUCGGCCUGCGCGGAAGAUGUAACGGGGCUAAACCAUGCACCGC